CUCCCCACCAUAAGCACCCAAAGCUGAUGUUCUACUUAAACUACUUCCU
rnacentral:tRNA from 1 species